AUUGAACGCUAGCGGGAUGCCUUUCCCAUGCAAGUCGAACGGAGUGGCGAACGGGUGUGUAAUGUAUCUGAACAUGCCCCGUAGCGCGUAAUAACUACACGAAAGCGUAACUAAUACCGCAUACUAUUGGCGCGGCUGGUAUCGGAUUGGCUAGUUGGUGGGGUAACGGCUCACCAAGUGGACGAUCCGUAGCUGGUUUGAGAGGACGACCAGCCACACUGGGACUGAGACACGGCCCAGACUCCGACGGGAGGCAGCAGUGGGGAAUUUUGGACAAUGGGGGAAACCCUGACCCAGCAACCCCGCGUGUGCGAUGAAGGCUUUCGGGUGGUAAAGCACUGUUGUCAGGAAAGCGGUACCUGCAGAAUAAGCACCGGCUAACUACGUGCCAGCAGCCGCGGUAAUAC
rnacentral:rRNA from 1 species